rnacentral:rRNA from 1 species
GGGUUUAAGGUGCGUAGGCGGUAAAUAGUGUCAGUGAAGCUACGGCUCAACUGUAGUAGUGCUGCGAUACUGUAUAACUAGAACAUGGGAGGGGUACUGGAAUGUGUGGUGUAGCGGUGAAAUGCGUAGAUAUCACACAGAACACGGAGGCGAGGCGGGGUACUAGACCAUAGUUGACGCUGAGGCACGAAAGCGUGGGGAUCAAACAGGAUAGAUACCCUGGUAGUCCACGCCCUAAACGAUGAUCACUAGAUAUGGCGACAGACAGUCAGUGUCUAAGCGAAAGUGAUAAGUGAUCCACCUGGGGAAUACGGCCGCAAGGUUAAAACUCAAAGGAAUUGACGGGGGCCCGCACAAGCGGAGGAGCAUGUGGUUUAAUUCGAUGGUACGCGAGGAACCUUACCUGGGUUAGAACGUAUGAUAGAUGUAGCUGAAAGGUUACAGACCUGCGAGGGAUAUCAUACGAGGUGCUGCAUGGUUGUCGUCAGCUCGUGCCGUGAGGUGUUUGGUUAAGUCCAGCAACGAGCGCAACCCCUACCUUUAGUUGCCAUCAGGUAAAGCUGGGGACACUAGAGGGACUGCCUGCGCAAGCAGAGAGGAAGGUGGGGAUGACGUCAAAUCAGCACGGCCCUUAUGUCCAGGGCUACACACGUGCUACAAUGGUAACUACAGAGGGCAGCGACUAGGCGACUAGGAGCGAAUCUCGAAAAGUUAUCUCAGUUCGGAUUGGAGUCUGCAACUCGACUCCAUGAAGGUGGAUUCGCUAGUAAUCGCGCAUCAGCAAUGGCGCGGUGAAUACGUUCCCGGGCCUUGUACACACCGCCCGUCAAGCCAUGGAAGUUGGGGGUACCUGAAGUUCGUAACCGUAAAAGGAGCGACCUAGGGUAAACUCGAUGACUGGGGCUAAGUCGUAACAAGGUAGCCGUAAAU